AGCGAACGCUGGCGGCAUGCCUAACACAUGCAAGUCGCACGGGGGGGCUUCGGCCUCCCAGUGGCGGACGGGUGAGGAACGCGUAGGGACCUGGCGAGGGGUGGGGGAUAACCGCGGGAAACUGCGGCUAAUACCGCAUGACGCCGCGGCGUGACAGCCGGGGCCAAAGGCGAAAGCCGCCCGCCGAGGGGCCUGCGUCCGAUUAGCUGGUUGGCGGGGUAGCGGCCCACCAAGGCGUCGAUCGGUAGCUGGUCUGAGAGGGUGAUCAGCCACACCGGGACUGAGACACGGCCCGGACUCCUACGGGAGGCAGCAGUGGGGAAUAUUGGACAAUGGGCGCGAGCCUGAUCCAGCAAUGCCGCGUGGGUGAAGAAGGUCUUCGGAUUGUAAAGCCCUUUCGGCGGGGACGAUGGUGACGGUACCCGCAGAAGAAGCCCCGGCUAACUUCGUG
rnacentral:rRNA from 1 species